rnacentral:misc_RNA from 1 species
UAAUGAGUGUUUAUGGCACUUUUAAAAAUCCAUACCCACCUUGUGUGCAUCGUUAGUCAUGUUCCUUGUUCUCUCUUGAGAGAGCGAGGAGGCAGACUUCAAAUUAAUCUAUCUUUAACCAGUUUGUCUGAAAAAUAUUAUGAAUAAACAAUUCAAAAUA